rnacentral:rRNA from 1 species
CCCCCACACACCCCUGUGCACCUAAUGGCGAGCGCCUCCCGUCUGGAGCCGUCUUGGGGCCUCCGUGCCCUGGGGCCGAGGCGUUCGCCGCCCAAAUACACGUUGCAGCCAGUCGAACGCAUGUCUUUUUGAUGCCCUAUGGGGCAAAAAAGUAAAGCACAACUUUCAACAACGGAUCUCUUGGCUUUCGCAUCGAUGAAGAACGCCGCGAAAGUGCGAAACGUAAUGUGAAUUGCAGAAUUCAGUGAAUCAUCGAAUCUUUGAACGCAUCUUGCGCUCCUUGGUAUUCCGAGGAGCAUGCCUGUUUGAGCGUCGUGUGUAGAAACUCAAGCGCCCCCUUUUUAGGUUGGGGGCUUGGACUUGGACGUCUGCGGCAAGGUGGGCUUUUGCCUCCGGCCGCUCGUCUUCAAACGCAUCAGCUGGUCCCUCAUAGUCGGUUCAACGACGGUGUGAUAAUAGACGCUCUGUUGACUGUGGCGCCGUCCGUUGCCGAUUUGGCCUGGCUUA